GUAACAUAUAUUGAGAUUGCUCCACCCCUUCCAUCCCAAUUGCUUUACAUCUUUAACACUGAACUGAAUGGAUACAGCUGAAGGAAAUCUGUGCAAGAGGGAGCUGUGCUAUGUGUGAAUAACCCUUGCUGUGCCACAGAAAACAAGUGGCAGAUGUGAAAAGAGAGACUGGACAACAAAACGACCCAGACGCUAACUACAUCCACCAUUUACUUUUGCCUAGAAUAUGAAGAUUCCAGAUCAGCCUCUAAAACCACUUAAAGACCACCAAUAGACAACACUUAGGAGAAUAUCAUACUCAACUUGAGUGAUUGCACUUCAACUAUACCCCUUCCCUAUAACUUUUUGUUCUGCCUCCAGCACCCAGAGCAUGCCCUUUUCUCACUGUUACCAUCAGGUUGGAGGUACAGAAGCCUGAAGGCACACACUCAGCGAUUCAAGAACAGCUUCUUCCCCUCUGCCAUCUGAUUCCCAAAUGGACAUUAAAUCUUUGGCUAUUUCCUCACAUUUUUUUAAAUAUGCGGUGCUGCUUGAUCCAUUGAGCUCCACCAGUAUUUCAUUUGUUGCUCCAGAAUCUAGCAUCUGCAGUCUCGUGGGUUUCCCUGUCAUCUAGACUCCAGACUUCAGACUCCAGUACAGCCUCUUAUGUACUUCUGCCAGAUAAAAACAUGGACUCAACCGGCACAGAUACAGGCCCUUCAGCCCAUUACAUCCUUCUGACCAUCAGGGAAAACUGGAUUACCCAAGAAAAGCCAUGCAGUCACGGAGAGAUUAUGCAAACUCCUAACACACAGUGGUGAUAAUUGAACUCUGAUCUUACAGCUGACGAUGUACGAGGGGUGAUUGACAUGUUCAUGGUCUAAGAGUUCCAGUGGCUUUAUGACAAGGGAAACAACUCCACAAUCGACUUUUCACUCUGAAUGUUAAUCAUGUCUCACCAAAUCCUCAUGAAGGAGCUAUCACAUCACUUUGAUUUUGAAAAUAAUGUUAACCUGUCUCGAAGGAAUGGAUCAUUAUUAAAGAUAAACCUUUUAUUUGAGAGCCACUGACAGAGCUACAGUUUUAUGUUAAUAGAUGAAAUAGACCUUGUUGACUGAGAGGCUAUUAAGUGGCAAUUUCUCUAGUGAAGUAGACAUAUCUUCUUAAUGAUCCCAAAUAACUUACAUUAAUAUAGCAAUUUUACUGCCAUGAAAUAGCCCAGGAAUCUUGUUGAGGCCUCCAUUGGUCAGGGUUGACCAUGGGUGUUGCCUCCCAACUGUCAAGAUAUCCAAGCCAGCUCAGUACAACAUGGAAGGCGAGCUGUUGCCCAUGUAGCAGGUUCCUUCUUUCAAUGCAUCUGAUGAAACCAAAGGAAUGGCUGACACCAACAGCUUUGCCUGGAAUUGCUGGUCAACAUCAAAGUCAAUGGAAGACUGUCUCAGGGACUCCAACUCUGGAUUUUUCCCUCAGGGUUUAGUCCCAAAGCAUUCCUCAUGAGUGAGUAGCGUCAUGAGGCAGUGGAGGUUUGAGAUCAGAGUUUUCCGUGUCCUAGGUGAGCUGUCAGCCACAACUGAUGAGCCCAUCUGCCUGAAAUGACUGGCUUUAAGGUGCCAAUAACCUGCCUUUACCCCUUCGCCUGUCAGUAAAAAUGGUUCCACUGGACUUAGCAGCUAAGCCACACAUGAAGGCCAGGAGUUAGACUUGGUUGACAGAGGCUAUUUGUGAUGCACGCCAUUGGGAACAUUUAAUAGGUAAUGGGAGCUUUUCUCCAUUAGCACCCCCUGCUAUAACAACCUUAAGGAACCAUUUCUCCAACCAGGAUUCUUGACAGUAGGAUUAUCAUGUAAGUGCUUGUAUCUAGCCUGUAUUAUAAGUAAAUAUGUUGAUCAUUUCAUUGAUGAUACCAUUGCCAUGCAUGUUACAAAAGCUAAAUAAAUUGGCACACCUUGGUCAAGCUCCCAUUCCUGUGAUUCAUGUAUCAUGUAACUGUAAAUAUCCUGGAGCACACCUCAGUAUGUUUUCGCCAAAAGCCAGAUUUAAACCGGAGAUGGUUUCAAGACUGCUGAUCAGAUGCUUGGGAUGGAAAGAGAGAUGUGAAGGUUUGGGAGGAAUUAACCUUCUCAAAGACUUGGGAAAGGAAAGAGGGUUUAGGGAUGGAGUGUUGCCUUUAUUGGCCACCCACAAUUAUGUUGUCCAUAAUUCCAGGCUAGGUAUUAUAUUGAAGUUGUGUAAGUCUUUGGUAAGAUCAAAUAUGGACUUGAAGAUCUGAUUCACAGGGGAGGUAUGAAAAGGUUUUGACUUUAUUCCCCGGAGAGAAGGAGAAUGAGUGAAGUCUUGAUAAAGGUAUAUACAAAAUUAUGAGAUGUAUAGAUAGGGUAAAUGCAAGCAAGCUUUUUCCACUGAGAUUGGGUAAGACUAGAAGUCAUAGGUUAAGAGUGAAAGGUGAAAUAUUUGAAAGGGAUCUGAGGGCAGUGCAAAUGUGGAAUGAGCUGCUGGCAGAUGUGAUGCAUGAGGGUUUGAUUUUAAUGUUUAAGUAAAGUUUGGAUAAGUACAUGAAUGGGGAAGGGUAUGGAAUACAGGUUGAUGGGACCAGGCAGUUAAAUAGUUCAGCAUGGACUAGAUGGGCUAAGGGGCCUGAUUUUGUGGUGUAGCUCUCUAUGACUUUAUGUAGCUGAAGCAGCGGAAGAGUAUAACUGGAACAAUUGAUUGCUUGCACUAUUAUGGAGCUGCUUGUAAUAGACUAACACCUCAAAGUCUCUGUGUAUUGUUCAUUAUCUGGAAGGUUAGACUAGCAAUUGUGACUAAUUUUGCAUAGAUUGAAGCUGCUUGUAACCCAUUGAUUUUUGUUCCAUAUCUAAACAAUAUUCAAUGUUUAUAUAGAGUCUGGCAGAGCCAGUUAUUGAUUGUUCAUACCAGAGUGGAAACACAAAGGGCAUGGAACAUACAAGCACAAUUGCCCCCUCGUAAACAAGAGAUGCAAGAGAUCAAUCAAAAUCAGGAGGGCCUUUGUCCGUGAAACUUGCUUAAGCCAGUUACUUUUUAAUGGUUGCAUUAUUGUUAACAGAACAGAAUUGGGAAUAAGUCUAAAGAAACAUAGUCAUAGCAGCUUUCUCCUGCCAAGCAUCCAAAGCAAAAUGUGAUAAGACCAGGCUGCUUCUAAUAGGUUUGUUUUCCAAGGUGAUGUUUUACCUUAAUGGAGUAACUAACAAAGAAUUUACAAUUUGCCUGAACCAUAAUAACACUGAUCAAAGACCAACGGUAGAGUCGCAAUAGAAUUGUGAGGGCUCAAGUGACCAGGGUUGGAGGACCAUGCAAGUCCAGAAGUUAAGAUUCAAUGGUAGUACCUGUAAUCUGAAGUCUGGAGUUGGAGGCCUGAUGUCUGAGAAUCUGGGGUCAAUGAUUGGAGGUCCAGAGGUGGUUUGUCCUGGGGAUGGAGGCCCGACUGUGUGUGAGAGUGAGAGAGAUUAGAAAGAGGCUUGCCUGGCUGUUUUCUCGUUUUGUUGUUCUUCUUCUUGCCUGUGUGAGCAUACUUUGUGAGCAUACUAUGUUGAUGUUUGAAUGUGUGGUGUCACUCACAGGCUUCUCCCAGCACAUCCUAGGGCAGGGGUCGGCAACCCGUGGCUCCGGAGCCGCAUGCGUCUCUUUCAUCCCUGUGGCUUUGGAAAAUAAAUGAUGAGUAUUUAAUUAAAAUGUAUUUUAUGUUAGUUUGUUAGUUUUUGAAAUGUAAUUCUAAAUUUGAAGAUUAUGGUGAUCUUGUACAAUCUAAAUAAAACUUUGUGGCAACCCAUUUCCUGGCACAUCCGAACCGGCUCACAAUUAGCCAGCGUUCCAGCUAAGGGAGAUAGCCUACGGGGGUUUGUGAGUACGUGUCUUUUGGA